rnacentral:rRNA from 1 species
GAUGAACGCUAGCGGCAGGCCUAAUACAUGCAAGUCGAACGGUGUCUUCGGACAUAGUGGCGCACGGGUGCGUAACACGUAUGCAACCUACCUUACAUUGGGGGAUAGCCUUUCGAAAGGGAGAUUGAUACCGCAUAAGACAGUAGCUGGGCAUCCAGCAGCUGUUAAAGAUUUAUCGAUGUAAGCUGGGCAUGCGUCCAAUUAGCUAGUUGGUGAGGUAACGGCUCACCAAGGAAAUGAUUGGUAGGGGAACUGAGAGGUCAAUCCCCAACACUGGCCCUGAGAAACGGGCCGGACUCCUACGGGAGGCAGCAGUAGGGAAUAUUGGGCAAUGGACGCAAGUCUGACCCAGCCAUGCCGCGUGCAGGAUGAAGGCGUUAUGCGUUGUAAACUGCUUUUAUACAGGAAGAAACGACUCUUGCGAGAGGCAUUGACGGUACUGUAUGAAUAAGCACCGGCUAACUCCGUGCCAGCAGCCGCGGUAAGAC